CAUGCUCUGAAGAGCCGCCGCCGAGGAAGAUGCGGCUCAGCAGCGGCCUCGCCAGCCGAGAGGCGGCCGGGUGAGCUCCUCGCCCCUCCAGCCUCCGCCCGGUGCGCGUCCCUCGGAGCCUUCUGGAACAGCGUUAACCCCUGCGAGCCCGGCGCGGAGCACGGAGCGGUCACGGAGCCGGCGGGGCCGGGGACGGGAAUGGGGGAACACGGGAGGGGGCUCCGAGGGGCUGUCCCGCUGCCGGGACGCGGCUGAUCCCCCUGUCAGGACCUGUGUCCUUCCCCCUGUCAGGACCCGUGUCCUUCCCGCCGCCGGGACCUGCGAUGCUCCCGGUAACGCACGCGGUGUCCCCAGGGGGAUGAGAGGGGUCCUGUCCCCCCGCUUGUGUCGUGUCCCCUCGGUCCGAGGCCGCUCGUCUGGGCUUAAUUUUAGGAAGUGGCUUCUAUUUUUGAUGAGCCAUGUUCAGGGAGUGGAAUAAAGAGGAAUGCCACAGGA